GAUGAACGCUGGCGGCGUGCUUAACACAUGCAAGUCGAACGGAAAGGCUCCUGCUUGCAGGGGUACUCGAGUGGCGAACGGGUGAGUAACACGUGGGUGAUCUGCCCUGCACUUCGGGAUAAGCCUGGGAAACUGGGUCUGAUACCGGAUAGGACGAUGGUUUGGAUGCCAUUGUGGAAAGUUUUUUCGGUGUGGGAUGAGCUCGCGGCCUAUCAGCUUGUUGGUGGGGUAAUGGCCUACCAAGGCGUCGACGGGUAGCCGGCCUGAGAGGGUGUACGGCCACAUUGGGACUGAGAUACGGCCCAGACUCCUACGGGAGGCAGCAGUGGGGAAUAUUGCACAAUGGGCGCAAGCCUGAUGCAGCGACGCCGCGUGGGGGAUGACGGCCUUCGGGUUGUAAACUCCUUUCGCUAGGGACGAAGCGCAAGUGACGGUACCUGGAGAAGAAGCACCGGCUAACUACGUG
rnacentral:rRNA from 1 species